rnacentral:rRNA from 1 species
CAUCCUUUGACAUGGCGUGUUACGUGGAGAGAUCCACGGUCUCCUUCGGGAGCGCGCACACAGGUGCUGCAUGGCUGUCGUCAGCUCGUGUCGUGAGAUGUUGGGUUAAGUCCCGCAACGAGCGCAACCCACGUCCUCAGUUGCCAUCAUUCAGUUGGGCACUCUGGGGAGACUGCCGGUGAUAAGCCGCGAGGAAGGUGUGGAUGACGUCAAGUCCUCAUGGCCCUUACGGGAUGGGCUACACACGUGCUACAAUGGCGGUGACAGUGGGACGCGAACCCGCGAGGGCAAGCAAAUCUCCAAAAGCCGUCUCAGUUCGGAUUGCACUCUGCAACUCGAGUGCAUGAAGGCGGAAUCGCUAGUAAUCGUGGAUCAGCAUGCCACGGUGAAUACGUUCCC